GGCGGGGGCGGGGGCGG
rnacentral:miRNA from 1 species